rnacentral:lncRNA from 1 species
UUAUGGUCUUCUCAGUAAAAAGGAGUUUGUGUGGCCUGCUAACAAGCUAAAUUGUCCUGGUUUCCUGGACAACAGGGGCAACAUAACCCCCCCACACACACACACACACCUCUCAUGACUGCCCAGUCAGCCGUCCCCACCGGUCCGUACACUGGGGAUGUGGUGUGUCUGUGUGAUCCUGCUGAAUGUCUGCACACUUGUCUUCAGCAGGAGAACAUGGCGGACAGAAACCGUGACAGAGCCGAGGGAAAUGCAGAGGACACUGAUGAGCUUCUUUACACUGAUCUCAAUGUCAACAGCAGUGUGUGUGACCUGGACCGUCAGCCUCUCAGACGGGACCACUGUGACCUCCUCUUAGACGCCAUCGAUGCUCAGCUUGGUCAACUGCAGGUCCAGUCCAAGAAUCACCAGGGAAUUUUCAGAAAGCAUGACUGCAGCGAUGUUGCCCCUCUUCAGUGGAGUCAAUCUCUGAGCAAAGACACAGGCCUUGGAAGUACAACGCCAACAAAUGACACUCCUAUGUCUUGUCUCGAUUUGAUACACACUCCGGUGACCGAGCAAUUAUUAGAGAGGAGCACAGGCUGCAGCGGAGGUCCUGACACUCAAGAGGAUACUAAAAAGUGGUCUGACAGAGGAACGAGAAACAAAGAAGCAAUGGAGUCUCGGAGAGAGGAGGUCAUCUGGAGACUCGAGAGGCUGCUUGGAGACACCUGUAAAGAGGACACAAUAGCAGGAGAGGCGCAUCCUCCUUCAGACAGUGUCUGCACUGAGGACUUUGCCAGGCGCUUCACAGAGGAGAUGGUGGAAGUGCCGUUGCCAGAGAGUAAAUUUCAACAGUCAGACAGAGAAGAAGAGGCUGAGAGGUGUAAAUGUAUGUAGCAUAUUCUUAACAUAAACAUUAACAUAACAUGUUAUUCCCAUAUAAUGAACUGUAUGUUAUGCGUGUAUUAAAUUGUAUACCAGUAAAUUGGUUGUUCCAGCACUUUUGAAGUUAACCUCAGGGGUCCACUUGCUUGACUCUAGACUCUUGUCCCUGGUCCGAUUACAACCCUGGUACACCUUUGGUUCUCUCUCACUUCCCUCGCAGUCACUCACAAAACCAGUGUUGUAACAGAACAAGAAAACAAGCAUCACAACGAGAGCUGUUCUCCUAAGGCCAGGUGCUUGGCAGGUACCACACAAGCACAGUCUCACUAAUCCUCCUGUGCAUCUGUUCACUGCAAAUGGUAACUGUAGGUUGCCUUUUUGUUUUUCAUUAGGAGUGCCUGUGAGGGGUUUCGAUGCUGUGUCCAUUGCAAGCGACCUUGACUCAGUCUGUUCAGAGCAGGUCAGAUGGCACAUUCUCACGCGACCAGGUAAGAGACUGCAGAAACUGUGGAGGAAAGUGGGCUUCACUUUUAAAAUCAUACAACAUGUUCAUAUAUGAAUAUAACCACUACUUGUAACAUGAGUGUAUUAAAUUGUAGUUUACAUCAUUAUUGCCAUGCCCCAGGAUGGCACUGUCUCAUUCAGUCUGCCGCAGGCCUGGACGAUUACUCCAUCACCCAGAGUGACUAUGACACACUCACACAAGAAGAAAGUGAACCUCAGUCUAUAUCAGGUAAACAAGGUUUGACUGUUUAUUCUUUCAUCUACAGAGUCCACGGUGAGAACGCUUUCAUCUUUAAAUCUUUAAAAGUCCACAGAUCCUCUUUUGGACGUGCACAAAAGAGAAGUCCUUCUGUUUGUAAAGCUCAGCAGAAAAAGAGAGAAAGCUACAGGUAAACCAAACCGAGCAACAUUUCAAAACUCAUUCUGUCUUUGUCUCCACUGUUUUUCAGUCAUAUAUACUGUGCAUUUUUGCAUUUUGCAGACUUGAGUGUUCCUCGGGUGAUGAUGACAAGGACACAGAUGAGGACACCAACCACUGGAGUGGAAGGUGUAGGUCAGAGAAUACAUCAGUGAAAAUGCAGUCUGCAAAAAUGAAAGAGCGACUCGCUAAUCUCCGACAAGUAAGAAUGAAUCAUAGUGUAUCUACGCAUAUUAUUAAGGGAUAUUUGAGAAAUGUUUUAUAACAGCUGUGUGUGUGUGUGUGUGUGUGUGUGUGUGUGUGUGUGUGUGUGUGUGUGUGUGUGUGUGUGUGUGUGUGUGUGUGUGUUUGUGUGUGUGUGUUGUUCAGAAAUGUGAGAAAGUGGAGGAGACACUAAUGUUGAAGAAAACUCAUUUAAAAGACGUUGAAGUCUGCCUCUCUGAACUUCAGCAGAGGAGAAAGGUAAAGUGCAGCAUCCUCAAUAGAAAACUGAAUAGAAGUCUCACUGACAAAAACUGACUCGCAGGUUAUGGUUUAUGCCCCAGCAUGCCUUGCGGGAAUUAGAGCGACUAAUGGCAGAGAACGCACGGAUUGAGAAGGAGAGGCAGACAAUGGAGUCCGGUCUGAUUGACAGCAGUGUAGAGAGAGACUCUCUCAGGUAUGCUGAUAUUUUAUCCUUCUAAUUUUGAUAAAUGCGUUUACAUGAUACUGAUCUUAAAAGAAUCAUAGGGCUGUGAAAGAGUGACACAACAGUGAAUGUGUUGUAGUUGCCAACUGAGAAAGUUGCAGAGGCAAAGAGAGUCGUAUGUCCAUGAGAUCAGAGACAUGGAAGAAGAACUUGCAGCUCUGAGUCAACAUAAAAAGACACUGAAGGACGGAUCCUGCAUGGAGAGGGUAACUAAAUCCGACCCAAGCAAUGUGUUCUUAAUUUCCAUCCUUGUGCUCAGUAACAUGUUUUAAUAUGUCAGGUUUGUUCUUCAAACACCAAUUUUUUUGUUGCUCCACUGUUCCGCAAACAGAGCAGCGUCAUCAUGUCGGUGCUGGAGAGGGAGGAGAUAGAGAGACAGCUGGACAGUGCAAAAACGGAAUUGUUCGCUGAACAGCGACGUGCAAGAGAGAAGCUUGAGUCCAUGCAAGAGGUACAGUAUUAAGGUCUUUUUAAUUUUGAAUACAAGUGACAAUUAUAAACCAUAACUAUAUCAAUAUUAAAAAUAAUUGUAAUAAAAUAAUUACAGAACUGUAAAAACAACAACAUCCAAAAUUAAUAACUCAACAAUUAAUAAUAAUAAAAUGCUCAUUAUAAGAUGUUCUGGUUUUAUGUUAGUGAUUUUUUAUAAGAAGAAAUUAUAGAACAUUAUUAGUCGUUCAGGUUUAUGUUAUUCUCAAAAGGUCAUAACUUUGUAAAUGUAAUCCACAUUCAGACGACAUCAGAAAAAAUAAGUCAUAUUUGUGUAUUAAAAGACCUGUCAGUCAAUUCCAGUGCAAAAUCAGGUUUUAAACUAAUUUUUUUUGUUGUGAGCCUUCUAAGGUCAUAUUGUGCCUUCAAUACAAAUAUCACUAAGUUGUGAAUGGAUCAUUUGAAUGACAAGAAACAUUUACAGGGAUGAACUAUUUAGGUUUUUUCUGUAAAAGGCACAUUCUCCUUUCUGUGUUUAAAGUAUCUUUGGAUAUGUGUUCAUCAAAUGACAUUGGAGCAGAAUUUAGAGCAGACACGUGAGGAACUCCAGAGAGCCACAGAGGCAGAACGCUCACAGAGGAACAGGUGUGCAGGUCUGGAGGAGAAACAGAUCCAGAAAAAGGAGCAAAUUGAGGUGAUACCUUAUAUCAUCAUGCUAAAUUGUAAUCAUCACACUCUCUUCUAAUUAUAAAAAAUUAUCUGUCAAGCAAAUGGCAAAAUGUUGGCAUCCACUCUCCAGUAUGUCUUAUUCUCUUCUAACUAUCCCUCCUAUAGACUCUGUACCUGAACAGAACAGAACCUUCAUUAACGUCACUAACGAUUGCUGUGUGUCUUUUAUUCGUAGGCGCUUGAGGCUCAAGUAAGUGAGCUGCAGGUUGAACACGGAGAAUGUAAGAUCAGGGUGGGCACUUUGGAGAAGAUGUCGGCCCAGAAGGAGCUACAGCUGCUACAUUUACAGGAACAACAUGGGACUUUACAAGCAGAGCGAGAUGGACUGAAGGGGGAGCUAAAACACCUGACAACCCAGCACUACAAAGCACAGAAGGAGGCCCAGGAACAAGCGUACAGAAUGAUGGUAAGUGUAAAAGCUUUCUGCGAUUUUUCCGAACUGCAUUUAUAUUUUUAUUAUAUCAUCUUCAACAGAGAGACGUGUUGUCUUUGAUUCUCAUUUGGGUGACAAACAAGACUGAAAAUUCAAAAUACUGAUUUGUCUAAUUCCUUCUCAGGUUAAUCAGCAGACUAAAGAGGAGAAAGCAGGUGAUUUGAAAGAACACACUCUGGCUCUCACACGAUGCAUUGAGACCAUGCAAAACUCCAUUCAUGUGAGUGUGUCAAUUGGAACCAUUUAAAACCCCCUACAGCACUUCAACAUGAACUGCUUGAUGAAGUUUGGAUUCCUCAAGUGGCUAUCGAAACCUAAAAAUCUAUCAUAAAUAUAGACUGAGACUGGGUUAUUUUUUAAGAUGUGAUCUUCUCUUGUUCUGGCAGCUAAAAGAAGAAGAAGCAAAGAAGCUAAGGAUGUCUCUGGAGCAGCGGAGGGAGGAGGCAAGGAACCGCGAAGAGCAGCUGCACAUAGAAGUCUCUGAAAAGGUAUUCUGAUAAUCCCUGUGCCUAAAAUAUGCUAUCUUUUUUCGAUAUGAUUACAUGAUAUGCACAGUAUGCUCUCGUUUAGGUGCACAAAGCAAUCGAGGAGGAGAGGAGGAAGUGGGAGACAGAAAAAGUGGAAGCUGUGCAGGUGCACUGUGGGAUACUGGCAGAGCAGAACAGAAAGAGCCUGGAGAGCGCGAGGAGGGAGACGCAGCAAGAGAAGAGUAAAGCACAAGCUCUUCAACAUAAAGUUCUGCAACUAAAAACAGUAAGGUGACUCGCAAACAUGAUAUGCAACAUUACCGUCUUAAAUGCAUUGAAACAUUGUUUUUUUGCAUGA